CCUACGGGUGGCAGCAGUGAGGAAUAUUGGUCAAUGGUCGGAAGACUGAACCAGCCAAGCCGCGUGAGGGAGGAAGGCACAGAGCAUCGCAAACCUCUUUUGUCAGGGAACAAAGACUGGGACGCGUCCGCUCAUGAGGGUACCCGAAGAAAAAGCAUCGGCUAACUCCGUGCCAGCAGCCGCGGUAAUACGGAGGAUGCGAGCGUUAUCCGGAUUUAUUGGGUUUAAAGGGUGCGCAGGCGGGCCUUUAAGCCGGCGGUGAAAUCCCGGGGCUCAACCCCGGCCCGCCGUUGAAACUGGGGGUCUUGAGUGGGGGAGAGGUAUGCGGAAUGCGCGGUGUAGCGGUGAAAUGCAUAGAUAUCGCGCAGAACUCCGAUUGCGAAGGCAGCGUGCCGGCUCGACACUGACGCUGAGGCACGAAAGCGUGGGUAUCGAACAGGAUUAGAUACCCUAGUAGUC
rnacentral:rRNA from 1 species